CUCACAUCCGUUUGUGGUUUGUAAAGAGAGAGAGAGGAGAGGAAAAAAAAAAUCUCUUCCAAAAAAGCACCGGUCUGCAGAUGUCUGCAAGAGAACCCACGAACCCUCCUUCUUCUACGGCAGGGCAGGUAUUUUACAAAUGUACAUAUGAAUGUCAGCUGAACAGUCAGGAGAAAGAAAAGACUGAACAGAGGGCUGGUCACAAGCAGAGGAAGGGUCUGUAUCACCAGUUUAUCCAUAGUAUUCAACAGGGAAUUCUCAUCUGCAAGACACAUGCCAAGCAGAUGUCUUCUGCUAGAGAAAAUUUUAAUUUUCAUUUUUAUUCACAAGGUCUCUGUGAAGAGAUGGGUGUUUCUUAAAUCUCCAGGCAAGCAGUUGGCAGGAGUACCAGUUGAAGGGAAUGAAUCAUCUGUGUUAGCUGUUCGUCUUUAAAAAUGGACUCUUCAGUGGCAUGUAAGUGCGUCAUAGAUAAUGGACUAACUUUGUGAACAUACUCCUGCAGUAGAAAGGACAAAAAUGAACAAUUCUUAUGUAAUUAGUCACCCGACACAAGUGUUCCAGGAUAAGAUCUUCUGAAGUAUCAUAGCAGAAAUAUAAAUGGAAUACUUAGAGUUGCUGUUGUCAGCUGUUAAAAAUGGAAGUAUUUCUGCAGCAUUUCAUGUUCUCUGGAUAGUUGUGCAUCAAACUAAGGUAUUCUUGUGGCAUUGAAUUGCACAAGGGCAGUUAACUGCUUUCCUUCUGCCCUAGAAGCAAAACAGCCCACUGGCACAAUUUAAGGCAAAAAGAUCAGGCUGGACCAGGCUUGUGUUUGCCCUGCUUCUCUAGAUUUUUGCCUGUCUUGUUUGGUAUAAAGGCAUUUCUUACAUUUGAAUGUGCUGUGGUGGUUAUUCAAAUUGUUAAUAGAUGCAGUUUCCUAACAUUCCAGCUCAAACAUUGGAAUACAAUAAACUUGAGCUGACUGGGCAUCAAAAGGCAUAAACCAGCAGUGUUAAUACAAUCAGUGUCAUGGGAUCAUUACUGCUGAAAACUGGGACUACAGCCCAUGGGUAUUAUUGUGUGUCUUCCAUCAGCUUCUCAAAGUGCACUCCAUGCACACCCAAGAAGGCCAGACAAUCUCUCCCUUAACCUAUUGGAAAGAAAUUUGUUGAGGUACACAUGUUUUCACACACAGCUUAAGAGAUAUACUCCCAUAAUUACUAGCACUGCUUGUAAGUCAGGAGUUAGUGCAGGCACAGCAUCCAGGUGUAGGAUGUUAUUACUGGUUCUGCUUUGGAAAUAUACUCAAGUGUGCCUCUCUGCCAUCUGGCAUUUCUGAUUCAGGAGAAUCUCUGUGUUUUCUUGUCUUCCUUGAACACUAAAAUCAAGGGUCAAGGUCUGCUUUUUUCUUUUGUGCAGUUUGGUUCAUUUGGGAGUUGUUCCUAACAUAACAAAGCUGUGGUUUUACAGUAGGCUUCAGCAAAUUUAAAUCUGUGCUGCUGCUGAAGAUGGUGGUACUGGUCUCUUUUCCUUCCUGCUCCAGCUGCAUAUUCUGCUGUCUCCGUAGGGAGAAUGAGCAUACUUCUGGCUUCAAGGUCAGCUGUGUCAGGAACCAUCUGAAAAUUACUGUGUGGCUCAGAUCUCAGGUGGAUCAUUUUGGUAUUUUUGAUCUGGCGGACUCUGAGGC